UACGUAGGUGGCAAGCGUUGUUCGGAAUUACUGGGCGUAAAGGGCGCGUAGGCGGCUCUUCAAGUCAGGCGUGAAAGCCCCGGGCUUAACUCGGGAACUGCGCUUGAUACUGUCGAGCUAGAGUGUGGAAGGGGCGAUUGGAAUUCCGUGUGUAGCGGUGAAAUGCGUAGAUAUACGGAGGAACACCAGAGGCGAAGGCGGAUCGCUGGGCCAACACUGACGCUGAUGUGCGAAAGCUAGGGGAGCAAACGGG
rnacentral:rRNA from 1 species